AAUAACAAAUGACUUGACAACAUAGAAACUAAAAACUGUCCUUAGCCCUUCUUUUACAUCUCUAUCUAUCUAUCUUCUUCACACGUCCCUUUUUGAUAUUGAGUUAUUUGCACGCGCUGUAACCAUACUUUAUUUUAGUUUUUUUUUCUCAAGAGGAAUAAGAAGAAGAAACUUUUUUACCUUUUUUAUUUUAUUUUUCAUUUUAAAUUUGACUGAUUACUAUUUUCGGGCCUUUAAAUCACAGCUUUAAUCAGUUGUGUCAGUGCCACCCACCGCACUAAGAUUGAUUCAUAAUUACUUGGUGCGUUUUCAAUUCACUUCUCAUGCAAUUUCAAAUUUACUCCUUUUAUUUUGGUUAUUUAUUUCACAAACCUAAAAACCCACAAAUUACAAAUUAGUAAUAUCAAUAACAUUUUCUGUUAGAGAGUUAGCAGUCACUGUAAAGGAUUCUUAGCUUAUAUCGUAUAAUUGUCAUUGCAUUUUUUAUUUUUAUUUUUUUUACGUUGCAUUUUCGAUUUUUUCUUAUUCAAAAACAAACAGUGAAAUUAUCAUUGAAUUUCAUUUUCAAACGUGAUAUAUAUGAUGUAUAUAUGAUGUACUCCAACAAGCUCAAAACACACAAAUUUUUCCUUAUUUACAGUAAUACUGAAGUCCCCUUUUGUACGCACAAAAA
rnacentral:lncRNA from 1 species